rnacentral:rRNA from 1 species
GAUGAACGCUGGCGGCGUGCCUAAUACAUGCAAAUCGAGCGAACGGACGAGAAGCUUGCUUCUCUGAUGUUAGCGGCGGACGGGUGAGUAACACGUGGAUAACCUACCUAUAAGACUGGGAUAACUUCGGGAAACCGGAGCUAAUACCGGAUAAUAUUUUGAACCGCAUGGUUCAAAAGUGAAAGACGGUCUUGCUGUCACUUAUAGAUGGAUCCGCGCUGCAUUAGCUAGUUGGUAAGGUAACGGCUUACCAAGGCAACGAUGCAUAGCCGACCUGAGAGGGUGAUCGGCCACACGAGAACGGAGACACGGUCCAGACUCCUACGGGAGGCAGCAGUAGGGAAUCUUCCGCAAUGGGCGAAAGCCUGACGGAGCAACGCCGCGUGAGUGAUGAAGGUCUUCGGAUCGUAAAACUCUGUUAUUAGGGAAGAACAUAUGUGUAAGUAACUGUGCACAUCUUGACGGUACCUAAUCAGAAAGCCACGGCUAACUACGUG